rnacentral:rRNA from 1 species
UACGGAGAGUUUGAUCCUGGCUCAGAAUGAACGCUAGCGGCGUGCCUAACACAUGCAAGUUGAACGAGAAAGCUCUUCGGAGUGAGUAAAGUAGCAAACGGGUGAGAAACGCGUGAGAAUCUACCUUUCAGUGGAGAAUACCCCUGGGAAACCGGGGUUAAUACUACAUAAGCCUUUCGAGGGAAAGACGGCAUUUGCCGUCGCUGAUAGAUGAGCUCGCGUCCUAUUAGUUAGUUGGUGGGGUAAUGGCCUACCAAGGCGAUGAUGGGUAGCCGGCCUGAGAGGGUGAUCGGCCACAUUGGGACUGAGAUACGGCCCAGACUCCUACGGGAGGCAGCAGUGGGGAAUUUUGCGCAAUGGACGAAAGUCUGACGCAGCGACGCCGCGUGGAGGAUGACGGUCUUCGGAUUGUAAACUCCUGUUGAGUGGGAAGAAAGCUAUUCGGUUAAUACCCGGAUAGUCUGACGGUACCAUUCGAGAAAGUUCCGGCUAACUUCGUGCCAGCAG